rnacentral:rRNA from 1 species
GAUUAACGCUAGCGGCAGGCCUAAUACAUGCAAGUCGAACGGGAUUCAAAGUAGCAAUAUUUUGAUGAGAGUGGCGCACGGGUGAGUAACACGUAUGCAAUUUACCUUUAACUGGGGGAUAGCCCUCCGAAAGGAGGAUUAAUACCGCAUAAUAUAUUGAAAUGGCAUCAUUUUAAUAUUAAACCUACGGGGGUUAAAGAUGAGCAUGCAUCCGAUUAGCUAGUUGGUGUGGUAACGGCUCACCAAGGCAACGAUCGGUAGGGGGUCUGAGAGGAUGAUCCCCCACACUGGUACUGAGACACGGACCAGACUCCUACGGGAGGCAGCAGUAAGGAAUAUUGGACAAUGGAGGCAACUCUGAUCCAGCCAUGCCGCGUGAAGGAUUAAGGCCCUAUGGGUUGUAAACUUCUUUUAGACGGGACAAAACCCCUUUACGUGUAAAGGGUUGAUGGUACUGUCAGAAUAAGCAUCGGCUAACUUCGUGCCAGCAGCCGCGGUAAU